AGUUUCUUGUGGUUUUAUAAGAAAUGUUUUCUGCUCGGUGAUUUUAAACAGCCGCGGUAAUUUGACCGUGCAAAGGUAGCGUAAUCAUUUGCUUUGUAAUUUAAGGCUUGUAUGAAUGGGAGGACAAAGAAAAAGCUUUCUUUCCUUUUUUAAGUAGAAUUUGUUUUUUUUGUGAAGAAACAAAAAUGAGGUAAAGGGACAAGAAGACCCUUUUGAGCUUUAUUUUAUUUUGCUUUUGUUAAAAAGUGUUUGGAAUUUGGUUGGGGCGAUCGAGGAAGAGUGAAUCUUCCUUUCUUAUAUUAAUGAGUAUUUUUUAAUUUUGGAUCCUUGGAUUUUGAUUUAAAGAUUAAGUUACCAAAGGGAUAACAGCGUGAUUUUUUCUGUGAGUUCUUAUUAAAGAAAAAGAUUGCGACCUCGAUGUUGACUUUUUAGUUUCCUUUUGGUGUAGCAGCUGUGUAGGAGGGUCUGUUCGACCUUUAAAUUAAA
rnacentral:rRNA from 1 species